CGAAGAUCCUCUAGUCGCCUCCAGAGUCCGCGGGAAUGAGCGUGGCGGUCGUAGACGUGGUUCCAGAGGCUCCACCAGGGAAGAUGAGGAGUUCGGGGUUCCUACCAUAGAUAACCUGCUCCUCAUCCAACCGGUGGAUGCGCGUCCAUCAUUAUGGGACCACUCCAACCGCCACCACGCUGAUCAUCAUCGGGCCCAGCGGCUCUGGAGGGACAUCUGUGUGCAAAUUUUUGAGACCUGGGGGAUCUAAAUGCGGCGGCUCAGGAGAAAUAUGUCAAACUGGAUACAACGCGUUGGCGAUCUAUCCGGGACCGCUUCAGGAGGGAUUUUAACAAGGAGGUUCAGGCCCUGGGUGGCUCCGGAGGAGCCUCAGGGAUCCCAUACAUCCAUACGGCGGCCCUGGGUUUCCUACGAAAGGCGAUGGCACC